ACAUGUUACAAGUUAACUGGACCUUCACACCAAAAAUUUUGCCUCUAUAGUGACUUGAUCUUUAGGAAUGAAAAUUAAAAAGAACCCAAAAAACACCAAGAAACAGAGGAUUAACGGAAAAAAUGGCAGGAUCAGUGACGCCCUCAGUUUUCUCCAUCAAUUUAGCCAGAAAAGUUGCUUCAACCAGAUGUGAAUCAUGUCAAACUAAGUUAAUACCCUCGUUUCAGAAGAUCCCGGGUUCAUUUUUCUCAAGGAUUAAUCCUCAGCUUAGCAGGAUUAGCUCAAAAAGAUUGAAUGCAGGUUUAUCAGAAAUAGAGCCUGACCUGAAUGAAGAUUUUGUGGACCGCUGGAGAACGAACGGAAUUGAAGAGGAUGACUUUAAGUUUGGAUAUUAUGAUGAUCACCAUACUUACUAUGAAGGUGACGAUAAAGGAACAUUUUGGGGAUCGAUUGCAGAAGGUUAUGCAGCAAUGGGACCUCCUACAGGAUUCCAAGGUCUUAUUUCUUGGCUAUUCCUGCCAGCAAUUGCUGCUGGCAUGUACUUCAAUGUACCGGGAGAGUACUUGUAUAUUGGAGCAGUUGUUUUUGCUGCAGUAUUUUGCAUUAUUGAGAUGGGUAAGCCAAGUGAACCACACAACUUUGAGCCUCAAAUAUACAACAUGGAGAGAGGUGCUCGUGAUAAGCUAAUAAAUGAUUACAAUACGAUGGAUAUAUGGGAUUUCAAUGAAAAGUAUGGGGACCUUUGGGAUUUCACUGUGACGAAGGAUGACAUAAUGAAGAGAUAAAUUUGAUCAGAAGCAAGAAAUUAAUGAUGCAGAGGUUGAUACAGACUUUAUUCUAUUAUGCAGGAAUGGAUAGGAAACCUUAGCUCUGAAGCGUUAGCAAACAGGAAAUGCUCUGAAGAAUUGAUUACAGAAAUUUCAGAAAGAAAGAAGGACAGAGAACUUUACUAUAAGAUAGUAUAUAAUAGCUCUUCCAUGAUUCCAUCAUUGAGUUUUAAUGUUCCCCACAAUACACGUAAAUGCUGCAAUAAUAGCAGAAUGGUAUCAAAAAUUCUUUUUCCAUUUAAUGGUUCUGCAGAAAUGCAUCAUUCCCUGCAGUGGAAAUGCAUGCCAAGAAUAUCCUUUUGGCAGGUUUCUAGAUAUCUAGCAUUCUCACGGAGGAGGGGCUGGAACGGUUGUCUCUACAACCGUUUCGGAAGGUUCACGGCCAUGAUUAGAUCAAAAAAAUUUGUGCGGCUCAGGUCACUCCUUGUAAUUCGAUUUUUAUGUCGUGUGGGACUCACAAAAAUAUUGUUCUAGUGUUACUCAUUAUUGUUCUAUUGUUACACCUUGUA